ensembl:lncRNA
GUUCACAAGCAAAAUUACAGUAAAGAAUUGGUCAAGUUUUAUUUGGAGUGUGUUUCUUUCAUGUUCAGGUUUAGCUUGUAGUUGGGUUUUAUAUUGCAAAUCAAUUUGUGAUCAAAGUUUUUAACCCCGGGUUGGGAAAGGCUCACUACUUGUGUCCAAACAACUUUACAUGAAUUAGUUUCAUGUUUAGGGUUGUCAUUGCCUUUACCACAAAGGGAGCGUCCAGUAAAAAGACGCCAUCAGGUUGCAUUUUGGGAAUUGUAGGAUUCAUCUUUUUUGGAGCAUCAUCCGUCCAGGGGAGUAAAGGUAAGGAUAGGAUGGCCUCUGCCCUCUUUCAAAAAUCUGUCUUUUGUGAGUCGUCCAGUUUCAUCAAAGUACGAUACAACAUUUGUUUUAGGCAUUGGUGAGUGCCCUCUUAAUUUCACUUGGGAAAGUCAGUGUGGUGGGGAAUUUAUGCUUAAAGUGUCACAGAUUUGUGCUCCACAGACAACUUAGAUCUUAAUUAGUGACACGUCAACAGAGAAUGUCUGUGAGACAACGCCACUGUAGGUACUUUGUGUUGUUGAGUUCUCCCGAAUCAACUCUCAGUUCCAUAUUAGCAUGUCAGCUGACCCUGUGGUCAUGUGACCUGAAUCAGUUCUGCGUCAGGUUAUGUGUCCUGGUUGCAUGUUAGAAACACUUUCUGAAGUCGGACCUCUGAUUGAUAAUUUGGUAAAAAUCAAAGAUGGCGUCAACAGAAGGAAAAAGCUUUACUUUACUUUAUUAGACUUUUUGUCUCAUUUGUGUCUCACUAAAACAGUCGUACACACAGUACAGUCCAACUUCUAUCCGUGGAUAUGUUGGUACAUUGUUUGCAUAUAUGUUAUAAACUGGCAUUGUCAACGAGGAUCCAGGCAAAAUUUCCAACUUGAUGUACAGGAAUGUGCUGAACUCUGGAGUGACGUCAUUCCCAACUUCUGACUUAUGAGGUAAAUGGAAUGCAAAGUACAGUAAAGAUGCACAACAUUAAAAAAAAAGGAAAAAGCACCACCAAUGAAUGCAUCAGAUUUGUUUAUAUCCACUCUUCCUCGUCCUACAUUACCCACAAUGCAACUGCUGUGUAGGAGAUCCGGGUGUGUGGCCAGCGUGGCCUUAAAAUAGCAUUGUUAGUUGGGCAGGUUCACUUUCCCAGAGUGCAAGACUCAGUGUUCAUGUGUGUUGCUUUUGAGAGAUGCACGAAUAUAAGGUUUGAAACGCUUCCUCCUGAGACCCGGGCCACAAAAAUGACCACCUUAUUUACAUUGUUGUGAUGGAAACGGAUAGAAAUAAGAACUCUACGGUGCUGUGAAUUUGUCUCUACGUAAUAACGUAGAGCAAUAGAUGGAUCUAACUGACGGAAAGAGGAAUAAAUACCGUACAGAACGAAGCGGCUGAGAGUAAAAAAAAAAACAUAUUUCUAAGGAGUGAACCAGAUGUUUGCAUUUUUUUUUUCAAGCGAGCGACUGCAAACGGCCGGAACAGCCUCUUUUGAAAUACCUGCGCAAUUGCGGGGUUUGCCGACAUUAUGGUUGUUAUUGGCUCUAAAUAAUAAAAGCCUUUUUUAGCGUCCCCCAGUCCAAAUAAAGGUGUACACGGGCUAUUCCUCUGGUUACCCCCCCUUGCCCCCCGCCCUCCUCAUGAGAUGGCUGUGUGCAGCGCCGGCCGGGCUGCAGGUGAGCUGUAAUUAAGCAGAAAGCAGACAUUAUGGAGCAGAAAGAGCUGCAGGGAGACGCAGCUCUUUCUGCCAUCUGAUCCAGCAGCAGCAGACACGUUGCACACUCUGGAGCUGGCCAAGCAAGCCUCUAAUUCCCUCCUCCUCUCUUUCUCUCUAACACACACACACACACACACACACACACACACACACACACACACACACACACACACACACACACACACACACACACACACACACACACACGCAUACACACGCAUACACACAUACACACUUGCAGAUACCUUCACAUUAUCCAUGUGUCUGCCUGUUCCUUUUUUUUCACAG